GACGGGGGGGGCAAGUGUUCUUCGGAAUGACUGGGCGCCAAGGGCACGUAGGCGGUGAAUCGGGUUGAAAGUGAAAGUCGCCAAAAAGUGGCGGAAUGCUCUCGAAACCAAUUCACUUGAGUGGGACAGAGGAGAGUGGAAUUUCGUGUGUAGGGGUGAAAUCCGUAGAUCUACGAAGGAAGGCCAAAAGCGAAGGCAGCUCUCUGGGUCCCUACCGACGCUGGGGUGCGAAAGCAUGGGGAGCGAACAGG
rnacentral:rRNA from 1 species